rnacentral:rRNA from 1 species
UACGGAGGGGGCGAGCGUUAUUCGGAAUUAUUGGGCGUAAAGGGCGCGUAGGCGGCUGUGUAAGUCAAAGGUGAAAUCCCUCGGCUCAACUGAGGAACUGCCUUUGAAACUGCUCAGCUUGAGGCCGGGAGGGGGUGGUGGAAUUCCCAGUGUAGCGGUGAAAUGCGUAGAUAUUGGGAGGAACACCAGUGGCGAAGGCGGCCACCUGGACCGGUUCUGACGCUGAGACGCGAAAGCGUGGGGAGCAAACAGG